rnacentral:misc_RNA from 1 species
AACGCACAUUGCGCCCUUUGGUCUUCCAUGGGGCAUGCCUGUUCGAGCGUCAUUCAACCCUUCAAGCCCCGCUUUGGUGUUGGGCGCUUGUCCCGCCCGCGUGCGUGGACUCGCCUUAAAACUAUCGGCGUCAACGUGCCGGCCUUGAGCGCAGCAGAAUAGUCGCUCGGGGGCAGGGCGCUGCGGCUUGCCGUAAAACGACCACCUAAUUCUUGACCUCGGAUCAGGUAGGGAUACCCGCUGAACUUAA